UGCUUUUAUCUAGUCGUUCGCGUACAUAGGGGCAACCCUCGCGUGAUGUCAGCAAUACCUAGGUAACCCUUGAAUAAACUACCCUUGUUGCUUUGGCGGGCCGCCGUCUCGGCCAGCGGCUUCGGCUGCUGCGCGCCCGCCAGAGGACCACAACUCUUGUUUUUAGUGAUGUCUGAGUACUAUAUAAUAGUUAAAACUUUCAACAACGGAUCUCUUGGUUCUGGCAUCGAUGAAGAACGCAGCGAAAUGCGAUAAGUAAUGUGAAUUGCAGAAUUCAGUGAAUCAUCGAAUCUUUGAACGCACAUUGCGCCCUUUGGUAUUCCGAAGGGCAUGCCUGUUCGAGCGUCAUUAUAACCACUCAAGCUCUCGCUUGGUAUUGGGGUGCGCGGUUCCGCGGCCUCUAAAGUCAGUGGCGGUGCCUGUCGGCUCUACGCGUAGUAAUACUCCUCGCGUCUGGGUCCGGUAGGUUGCUUGCCAACAACCCCCAAAUUUUUACAGGUUGACCUCGGAUCAGGUAGGGAUACCCGCUGAACUUAAGCAUAUCAAAA
rnacentral:rRNA from 1 species